rnacentral:rRNA from 1 species
CAUGCAGUCGACGAUGAACCACUUACGGUGGGGAUUAGUGGCGAACGGGUGAGUAACACGUGGGCAAUCUGCCCUGCACUCUGGGACAAGCCCUGGAAACGGGGUCUAAUACCGGAUACUGAUCCUCGCAGGCAUCUGCGAGGUUCGAAAGCUCCGGCGGUGCAGGAUGAGCCCGCGGCCUAUCAGCUAGUUGGUGAGGUAACGGCUCACCAAGGCGACGACGGGUAGCCGGCCUGAGAGGGCGACCGGCCACACUGGGACUGAGACACGGCCCAGACUCCUACGGGAGGCAGCAGUGGGGAAUAUUGCACAAUGGGCGAAAGCCUGAUGCAGCGACGCCGCGUGAGGGAUGACGGCCUUCGGGUUGUAAACCUCUUUCAGCAGGGAAGAAGCGAAAGUGACGGUACCUGCAGAAGAAGCGCCGGCUAACUACGUGCCAGCAGCCGCGGUAAUACGUAGGGCGCAAGCGUUGUCCGGAAUUAUUGGGCGUAAAGAGCUCGUAGGCGGCUUGUCACGUCGGUUGUGAAAGCCCGGGGCUUAACCCCGGGUCUGCAGUCGAUACGGGCAGGCUAGAGUUCGGUAGGGGAGAUCGGAAUUCCUGGUGUAGCGGUGAAAUGCGCAGAUAUCAGGAGGAACACCGGUGGCGAAGGCGGAUCUCUGGGCCGAUACUGACGCUGAGGAGCGAAAGCGUGGGGAGCGAACAGGAUUAGAUACCCUGGUAGUCCACGCCGUAAACGGUGGGCACUAGGUGUGGGCAACAUUCCACGUUGUCCGUGCCGCAGCUAACGCAUUAAGUGCCCCGCCUGGGGAGUACGGCCGC